AACGCAUAUGGCACCCGAGACCUCGGUCGAGGGUAUGUCUGCCUCAGAGUCGGCGUAAAAUAUCCCCUCGGGUACAGGUGACCCUCGAGGGGGAGCUGGCCUUCCCACGGUGGUGCCGAAGAUAGUAGGCGCCUGGUCUGUGGGUCGGCCGAAGGACAGACACGAGGGACCGGUGUGAUUUCACCACCGGACGUCAAGAUUAGUUGGGAGGUAUCAACCUCAGGCGACGUCUUACGACCGGUAACGUGUGAACUGCCGUGGUUCUCGCUUUAGCAGGAAAACCUAACAAGCAUUCGACCUGAGUUCAGGCAAGACUACCCGCUGAACUUAA
rnacentral:misc_RNA from 1 species